rnacentral:rRNA from 1 species
UGCCAGCCGCCGCGGUAAUACGGAGGGGGCUAGCGUUGUUCGGAAUUACUGGGCGUAAAGCGCGCGUAGGCGGUGUAUCUAGUCAGAGGUGAAAGCCCUGGGCUCAACCCAGGAACUGCCUUUGAUACUGGUAUGCUAGAGUACGGGAGAGGUGAGCGGAAUUCCCAGUGUAGAGGUGAAAUUCGUAGAUAUUGGGAAGAACACCAGUGGCGAAGGCGGCUCACUGGCCCGUUACUGACGCUGAGGCGCGAAAGCGUGGGGAGCGAACAGGAUUAGAUA